rnacentral:rRNA from 1 species
GGGUUGUGAGGUUAAGCGACUAAGCGUACACGGUGGAUGCCCUGGCAGUCAGAGGCGAUGAAGGACGUGCUAAUCUGCGAUAAGCGUCGGUAAGGUGAUAUGAACCGUUAUAACCGGCGAUUUCCGAAUGGGGAAACCCAGUGUGUUUCGACACACUAUCAUUAACUGAAUCCAUAGGUUAAUGAGGCGAACCGGGGGAACUGAAACAUCUAAGUACCCCGAGGAAAAGAAAUCAACCGAGAUUCCCCCAGUAGCGGCGAGCGAACGGGGAGCAGCCCAGAGCCUGAAUCAGUGUGUGUGUUAGUGGAAGCGUCUGGAAAGGCGCGCGAUACAGGGUGACAGCCCCGUACACAAAAAUGCACAUAUUGUGAGCUCGAUGAGUAGGGCGGGACACGUGGUAUCCUGUCUGAAUAUGGGGGGACCAUCCUCCAAGGCUAAAUACUCCUGACUGACCGAUAGUGAACCAGUACCGUGAGGGAAAGGCGAAAAGAACCCCGGCGAGGGGAGUGAAAAAGAACCUGAAACCGUGUACGUACAAGCAGUGGGAGCCUCUUUAUGGGGUGACUGCGUACCUUUUGUAUAAUGGGUCAGCGACUUAUAUUCUGUAGCAAGGUUAACCGAAUAGGGGAGCCGAAGGGAAACCGAGUCUUAACUGGGCGUUAAGUUGCAGGGUAUAGACCCGAAACCCGGUGAUCUAGCCAUGGGCAGGUUGAAGGUUGGGUAACACUAACUGGAGGACCGAACCGACUAAUGUUGAAAAAUUAGCGGAUGACUUGUGGCUGGGGGUGAAAGGCCAAUCAAACCGGGAGAUAGCUGGUUCUCCCCGAAAGCUAUUUAGGUAGCGCCUCGUGAAUUCAUCUCCGGGGGUAGAGCACUGUUUCGGCAAGGGGGUCAUCCCGACUUACCAACCCGAUGCAAACUGCGAAUACCGGAGAAUGUUAUCACGGGAGACACACGGCGGGUGCUAACGUCCGUCGUGAAGAGGGAAACAACCCAGACCGCCAGCUAAGGUCCCAAAGUCAUGGUUAAGUGGGAAACGAUGUGGGAAGGCCCAGACAGCCAGGAUGUUGGCUUAGAAGCAGCCAUCAUUUAAAGAAAGCGUAAUAGCUCACUGGUCGAGUCGGCCUGCGCGGAAGAUGUAACGGGGCUAAACCAUGCACCGAAGCUGCGGCAGCGACACUAUGUGUUGUUGGGUAGGGGAGCGUUCUGUAAGCCUGUGAAGGUGUGCUGUGAGGUAUGCUGGAGGUAUCAGAAGUGCGAAUGCUGACAUAAGUAACGAUAAAGCGGGUGAAAAGCCCGCUCGCCGGAAGACCAAGGGUUCCUGUCCAACGUUAAUCGGGGCAGGGUGAGUCGACCCCUAAGGCGAGGCCGAAAGGCGUAGUCGAUGGGAAACAGGUUAAUAUUCCUGUACUUGGUGUUACUGCGAAGGGGGGACGGAGAAGGCUAUGUUGGCCGGGCGACGGUUGUCCCGGUUUAAGCGUGUAGGCUGGUUUUCCAGGCAAAUCCGGAAAAUCAAGGCUGAGGCGUGAUGACGAGGCACUACGGUGCUGAAGCAACAAAUGCCCUGCUUCCAGGAAAAGCCUCUAAGCAUCAGGUAACAUCAAAUCGUACCCCAAACCGACACAGGUGGUCAGGUAGAGAAUACCAAGGCGCUUGAGAGAACUCGGGUGAAGGAACUAGGCAAAAUGGUGCCGUAACUUCGGGAGAAGGCACGCUGAUAUGUAGGUGAAGUCCCUUGCGGAUGGAGCUGAAAUCAGUCGAAGAUACCAGCUGGCUGCAACUGUUUAUUAAAAACACAGCACUGUGCAAACACGAAAGUGGACGUAUACGGUGUGACGCCUGCCCGGUGCCGGAAGGUUAAUUGAUGGGGUUAGCGGUAACGCGAAGCUCUUGAUCGAAGCCCCGGUAAACGGCGGCCGUAACUAUAACGGUCCUAAGGUAGCGAAAUUCCUUGUCGGGUAAGUUCCGACCUGCACGAAUGGCGUAAUGAUGGCCAGGCUGUCUCCACCCGAGACUCAGUGAAAUUGAACUCGCUGUGAAGAUGCAGUGUACCCGCGGCAAGACGGAAAGACCCCGUGAACCUUUACUAUAGCUUGACACUGAACAUUGAGCCUUGAUGUGUAGGAUAGGUGGGAGGCUUUGAAGUGUGGACGCCAGUCUGCAUGGAGCCGACCUUGAAAUACCACCCUUUAAUGUUUGAUGUUCUAACGUUGGCCCCUAAUCGGGGUUGCGGACAGUGUCUGGUGGGUAGUUUGACUGGGGCGGUCUCCUCCUAAAGAGUAACGGAGGAGCACGAAGGUUGGCUAAUCCUGGUCGGACAUCAGGAGGUUAGUGCAAUGGCAUAAGCCAGCUUAACUGCGAGCGUGACGGCGCGAGCAGGUGCGAAAGCAGGUCAUAGUGAUCCGGUGGUUCUGAAUGGAAGGGCCAUCGCUCAACGGAUAAAAGGUACUCCGGGGAUAACAGGCUGAUACCGCCCAAGAGUUCAUAUCGACGGCGGUGUUUGGCACCUCGAUGUCGGCUCAUCACAUCCUGGGGCUGAAGUAGGUCCCAAGGGUAUGGCUGUUCGCCAUUUAAAGUGGUACGCGAGCUGGGUUUAGAACGUCGUGAGACAGUUCGGUCCCUAUCUGCCGUGGGCGCUGGAGAACUGAGGGGGGCUGCUCCUAGUACGAGAGGACCGGAGUGGACGCAUCACUGGUGUUCGGGUUGUCAUGCCAAUGGCACUGCCCGGUAGCUAAAUGCGGAAGAGAUAAGUGCUGAAAGCAUCUAAGCACGAAACUUGCCCCGAGAUGAGUUCUCCCUGACCCUUUAAGGGUCCUGAAGGAACGUUGAAGACGACGACGUUGAUAGGCCGGGUGUGUAAGCGCAGCGAUGCGUUGAGCUAACCGGUACUAAUGAACCGUGAGGCUUAACCUUACAACGCCGAAG